rnacentral:rRNA from 1 species
UAGGGAAUAUUGGUCAAUGGGGGCAACCCUGAACCAGCCAUGCCGCGUGCAGGAAGACUGCCCUAUGGGUUGUAAACUGCUUUUGUACGGGAAGAAACCCUCCUUCGUGAAGGAGGUUGACGGUACCGUAAGAAUAAGGAUCGGCUAACUUCGUGCCAGCAGCCGCGGUAAGACGAAGGAUCCAAGCGUUGUCCGGAUUUACUGGGUUUAAAGGGUGCGUAGGCGGUUGCUUAAGUCAGUGGUGAAAGCCUGUAGCUUAACUAUAGAAUAGCCAUUGAAACUGAGCGACUUGAGUACGGCUGAGGUGACUGGAAUGUAACAUGUAGCGGUGAAAUGCAUAGAUAUGUUACAGAACACCGAUUGCGAAGGCAAGUCACUAAACCGUAACUGACGCUGAGGC